UAAACAACAGCUUUUCUCGCAGUUCGGCUAAAAGUGCAAAUUCGACAAUAGGAGAAACAGGCGAUGACGAAAUCGGCAAUGAAAAAUUCCAACCGGCGUGAUAUUGUUGGCGCGUAUGUUUUUCUUACCGAGAUGCGCACUUAUCACGUACCUGUUACUUAACUCAAGUAUCGAACUGUUACCGUUACAGUUGCUAUCGAACAGCAGUUGCUCUACUCAUCUCUAUUCCAUUGGAACCAACUUCGAUUAAUAUCGUAAUCGAUUAAAAGUCUUGCCGUAUCGAUAUCAUAAGCAGGCGCAAAAUUAAAGUCAAUUUAAAAAUGGUAUGGCUUUUCAUCAAAUACUGUUUGGGUUUAUAUUUUAUUGAUUUUACUUGACUUGGAUUGUAUAUGGUACUUAGACAUAUCGCCAUAGAAUACAAACAUUUAUUGGGGAAUGCACGAAAUCUAUUGUGCGAAUGGUGUUUCGAGAUUAGGCAACGUUCUUUUCCUCAUCAUUAAAUGAGUUUAUCAUUAUUAUUAUGUUAUUAUUAUAGUCAAAAAAUGUGCCUUUUUUAUUGCUAAUUAAAGAUUGCAUAAUAAAUUAAAUUACGCUACAACUAAUAUUAAAUGUUUGCAUAAGUAUUUUUAUAACUUGUUUCUUAUUCUUGUUAUACAAAUACAUACAUGCAUAUUUACUACAUAUUUUCUACGAUUUAAGAUUUAGAAUGCACUUUGCAGCUGUUUAACGGUAACUAUGUAUUAAGAAAAG